rnacentral:rRNA from 1 species
UAGGGAAUCUUCUGCAAUGGACGAAAGUCUGACCGAGCAACGCCGCGUGAGUGAAGAAGGUUUUCGGAUCGUAAAACUCUUUUGUUAGAGAAGAACAAGGACGUUAGUAACUGAACGUCCCCUGACGGUAUCUAACCAGAAAGCCCCGGCUAACUACGUGCCAGCAGCCGCGGUAAUACGUAGGUGGCAAGCGUUGUCCGGAUUUAUUGGGCGUAAAGCGAGCGCAGGCGGUUUCUUAAGUCUGAUGUGAAAGCCCCCGGCUCAACCGGGGAGGGUCAUUGGAAACUGGGAGACUUGAGUGCAGAAGAGGAGAGUGGAAUUCCAUGUGUAGCGGUGAGAUGCGUAGAUAUAUGGAGGAACACCAGUGGCGGAGGCGGCUCUCUGGUCUGUAACUGACGCUGAGGCUCGAAAGCGUGGGGAGCAAACAGG